UACGUAGGGUGCAAGCGUUGUUCGGAGUCACUGGGCGUAAAGCGUGCGCAGGCGGUUAUGUAAGACAGUUGUGAAAUCCCCGGGCUCAACCUGGGAACUGCAUCUGUGACUGCAUAGCUAGAGUACGGUAGAGGGGGAUGGAAUUCCGCGUGUAGCAGUGAAAUGCGUAGAUAUGCGGAGGAACACCGAUGGCGAAGGCAAUCCCCUGGACCUGUACUGACGCUCAUGCACGAAAGCGUGGGGAGCAAACAGG
rnacentral:rRNA from 1 species